rnacentral:rRNA from 1 species
UACGUAGGGUGCGAGCGUUGUCCGGAAUUAUUGGGCGUAAAGAGCUCGUAGGCGGUUUGUCGCGUCGACUGUGAAAACCCGAGGCUUAACCUCGGGCCUGCAGUCGAUACGGGCAGACUAGAGUUCGGUAGGGGAGACUGGAAUUCCCAGUGUAGCGGUGAAAUGCGCAGAUAUGAGGAGGAACACCGAUGGCGAAGGCAGGUCUCUGGGCCACUACUGACGCUGAGAAGCGAAAGCAUGGGGAGCGAACAGG